UGCAUGUCUAAGUAUAAGCAAUUAUACAGCGAAACUGCGAAUGGCUCAUUAUAUAAGUUAUCGUUUAUUUGAUAGUACCUUACUACUUGGAUAACCGUGGUAAUUCUAGAGCUAAUACAUGCUAAAAAUCCCGACUUCGGAAGGGAUGUAUUUAUUAGAUUAAAAACCAAUGCCCUUUGGGCUCCUUGGUGAUUCAUAAUAACUUUUCGAAUCGCAUGGCCUUGCGCCGGCGAUGGUUCAUUCAAAUUUCUUCCCUAUCAACUUUCGAUGUUUGGGUAUUGGCCAAACAUGGUCGCAACGGGUAACGGAGGGUUAGGGCUCGACCCCGGAGAAGGAGCCUGAGAAACGGCUACUACAUCCAAGGAAGGCAGCAGGCGCGCAAAUUACCCAAUCCCGAUUCGGGGAGGUAGUGACAAUAAAUACUGAUACAGGGCUCUUUUGGGUCUUGUAAUUGGAAUGAGUACAAUUUAAAUCCCUUAACGAGGAACAAUUGGAGGGCAAGUCUGGUGCCAGCAGCCGCGGUAAUUCCAGCUCCAAUAGCGUAUAUUAAAGUUGUUGUGGUUAAAAAGCUCGUAGUUGAACCUUGGGCCUGGCUGGCCGGUCCGCCUCACCGCGUGUACUGGUCCGGCCGGGCCUUUCCCUCUGUGGAACCUCAUGCCCUUCACUGGGUGUGGCGGGGAAACAGGACUUUUACUUUGAAAAAAUUAGAGUGCUCCAGGCAGGCCUAUGCUCGAAUACAUUAGCAUGGAAUAAUAAAAUAGGACGUGUGGUUCUAUUUUGUUGGUUUCUAGGACCGCCGUAAUGAUUAAUAGGGACAGUCGGGGGCAUCAGUAUUCAAUUGUCAGAGGUGAAAUUCUUGGAUUUAUUGAAGACUAACUACUGCGAAAGCAUUUGCCAAGGAUGUUUUCAUUAAUCAGGAACGAAAGUUA
rnacentral:rRNA from 1 species